UGUAAACGUUUAAAACACAAUUAUAACUCUACCUCUGUUGAGAAUACACAGUGAUACACACAAAUACACAUGGAGCUUCUGAAAUAUACAAGCGAAGAAACAACCUCAUCUAAACUUCCUGCAAGAGCAAAUCGAAUCUUUGAAGAUCAAAAAUAAACUUGUUGCAAGAUCAAAUCGAAGUUUUAAAGAUCAAAAACGAAGGUAUGAGAAGGUCGAGGGAAAUCAUCAUUGCAAGAUGCUAAGGAGAAAAAAGGCUGCAGCCAUUAUAGGCGCAGAAGAAAAUUGUCAUCUUGGAAGGCAGUCCAUCUAUGGUCCAAGCUUGAAAAUCAGGGGAAUCUGCGGAAGUAGGGGAGGCAUUAAUGUCACAUGAAUGCAAACUGGAAAGCCUCCUAAGUGCAACAUUGUUAUUGUUGAUUCCGAUAGUCUACCCAUUGUACAAACCAUUUUUCAUGGUAAUUUGUCUAUUACGUCUUUAAAGUUCAUGUCUAUGAUCUUGCCUGUUGGGGAUAUUGAGACACAAUUCAAAGUUAAUGUCUGUAAUCUUGCCUAUUGAUGAUAUGAGACAAAAUUUGUGGUUAUGAUUGA